UGCGUGUGUGUGUGAUGUGCGAUCGAGCAGAGGCAGGAGAACAAGGUGAAACCCUAGUUUCACCAAUUCCAUCAAAUUGGACAGAAAUCUCAUGGAUAAUCAAAUGCAUGUGAUCAAUUCCUCAGUUAUCUAAGGGUUUUCCAUCAUGGGGAGUCAUGUCAAUAGGGACACGAAUAUGGAAGCGCUUCGGGUCGAAGGUAAACAUGGAAGCCACAUAUAAAUUGGACGCACGAGGAAGAAACGUGACGCAAAACGGAUGAAAAAUGAGAGAGUUAUGUCCGUUUCGGAAGAAUUAAUGGCUAGGAAAAGUGCAAAGCUGACACGGCCGGGUGGUGAGCUGACACGGCCGGGUGAAGGUUCUGUCAAAAAUAUUAUUUAUGUGAUUUAUGCAUCGUAGGCUUCGGUAUAUUAUCCGUGGACUACGGUGGGCCUCCCAAACAUGAUUUCGAGUGUUCCCUUGACGAUUAUAAGUUGUAAACCCAAGUCUAUGCCUCAUGUAAUUUAUAUAAGAGUAUGAUAGAUGUAUGUAAUGAAGUUGGACAUGUAUUACAUGUAAAUGGUAUAUAAGAAUGCGUACGGAACACGUAGGUAUGAAUACAUGAUUGUAGGUAUGAUUGAAUGUAUAUUAGGUAUGUAGAUGUGUAUGAUUGUAAGUAUGUAUUGUGCAAGUAUGUGCGAAUGCAUGAUUUGGAUGCAUUUGAGAAUUAACGUUACUAACAAUGCCCUUGAGUUUGGGAUGUAAUGCAGGAAUGAGAAUGUCGGAUUCUUAUGAAGUUGAAGCCGAACUCGGAACAAGAGACUUAAAGAGAAUAGUCGAAUGAAUCGAAGCUAUAUUGUCGAAUAUUAUUCGAAAGUUAAUUGUAUGAGGUUGUCAAUGACUAAUGAUUAAGUUGUAUGUGAUGUUCACAGGUACCAUACGGAUUUCUUCUUCUACUAACGAAGAUGAGCGGAUGAAGAUCGAGUCAAGAGCAAGGAUUGUACGGGAAGGAUCGGUCACAUAGUUUACCAAAUGUAGGUCCGAAGUAUUAAUAUAAUGGAACGUGGUAAAUACUUUUUAAUGAGUGUAUGACAUUUGGUAUUCGAACUUUCCUGUAAGUACUAUGUCUAUUAAAGAACGAAAUUUUGG
rnacentral:lncRNA from 1 species